rnacentral:rRNA from 1 species
UACAGAGGGGGCAAGCGUUGUUCGGAAUUACUGGGCGUAAAGGCGCGUAGGCGGCCUACUAAGUCAGACGUGAAAUCCCCCGGCUUAACCUGGGAACUGCGUCUGAUACUGGAAGGCUUGAGGAUGGGAGAGGGAUGUAGAAUUCCAGGUGUAGCGGUGAAAUGCGUAGAUAUCUGGAGGAAUACCGGUGGCGAAGGCGGCAUCCUGGACCAUUACUGACGCUGAGGCGCGAAAGCUAGGGGAGCAAACGGG